GCUGGAGGUAUCAGAAGUGCGAAUGCUGACAUAAGUAACGAUAAAGCGGGUGAAAAGCCCGCUCGCCGGAAGACCAAGGGUUCCUGUCCAACGUUAAUCGGGGCAGGGUGAGUCGACCCCUAAGGCGAGGCCGAAAGGCGUAGUCGAUGGGAAACGGGUUAAUAUUCCCGUACUUGGUGUUACUGCGAAGGGGGGACGGAGAAGGCUAUGUUGGCCGGGCGACGGUUGUCCCGGUUUAAGCGUGUAGGUGUGUGUUCCAGGUAAAUCCGGUUCACUUUAACACUGAGGCGUGACGACGAGGCACUACGGUGCUGAAGCAACAAAUGCCCUGCUUCCAGGAAAAGCCUCUAAGCAUCAGGUAACAUCAAAUCGUACCCCAAACCGACACAGGUGGUCAGGUAGAGAAUACCAAGGCGCUUGAGAGAACUCGGGUGAAGGAACUAGGCAAAAUGGUGCCGUAACUUCGGGAGAAGGCACGCUGACACGUAGGUGAAGUGAUUUACUCAUGGAGCUGAAGUCAGUCGAAGAUACCAGCUGGCUGCAACUGUUUAUUAAAAACACAGCACUGUGCAAACACGAAAGUGGACGUAUACGGUGUGACGCCUGCCCGGUGCCGGAAGGUUAAUUGAUGGGGUCAGCGCAAGCGAAGCUCCUGAUCGAAGCCCCGGUAAACGGCGGCCGUAACUAUAACGGUCCUAAGGUAGCGAAAUUCCUUGUCGGGUAAGUUCCGACCUGCACGAAUGGCGUAAUGAUGGCCAGGCUGUCUCCACCCGAGACUCAGUGAAAUUGAACUCGCUGUGAAGAUGCAGUGUACCCGCGGCAAGACGGAAAGACCCCGUGAACCUUUACUAUAGCUUGACACUGAACAUUGAGCCUUGAUGUGUAGGAUAGGUGGGAGGCUUUGAAGUGUGGACGCCAGUCUGCAUGGAGCCGACCUUGAAAUACCACCCUUUAAUGUUUGAUGUUCUAACGUGGACCCGUUACCCGGGUUGCGGACAGUGUCUGGUGGGUAGUUUGACUGGGGCGGUCUCCUCCUAAAGAGUAACGGAGGAGCACGAAGGUUGGCUAAUCCUGGUCGGACAUCAGGAGGUUAGUGCAAUGGCAUAAGCCAGCUUGACUGCGAGCGUGACGGCGCGAGCAGGUGCGAAAGCAGGUCAUAGUGAUCCGGUGGUUCUGAAUGGAAGGGCCAUCGCUCAACGGAUAAAAGGUACUCCGGGGAUAACAGGCUGAUACCGCCCAAGAGUUCAUAUCGACGGCGGUGUUUGGCACCUCGAUGUCGGCUCAUCACAUCCUGGGGCUGAAGUAGGUCCCAAGGGUAUGGCUGUUCGCCAUUUAAAGUGGUACGCGAGCUGGGUUUAGAACGUCGUGAGACAGUUCGGUCCCUAUCUGCCGUGGGCGCUGGAGAACUGAGGGGGGCUGCUCCUAGUACGAGAGGACCGGAGUGGACGCAUCACUGGUGUUCGGGUUGUCAUGCCAAUGGCACUGCCCGGUAGCUAAAUGCGGAAGAGAUAAGUGCUGAAAGCAUCUAAGCACGAAACUUGCCCCGAG
rnacentral:rRNA from 3 species